rnacentral:rRNA from 1 species
GACGUAGGAUCCGAGCGUUGUCCGGAGUUACUGGGCGUAAAGCGCGCGCAGGCGGACACGCGCAUCGGCGGUGAAAGCCCCCCGCUCAACGGGGGAGGGUCCGUCGAGAUGGCGUGUCUGGAGGCAGGGAGAGGCCAGUGGAAUUCCGGGUGUAGUGGUGAAAUGCGUAGAGAUCCGGAGGAACACCAGUGGCGAAGGCGACUUCCUGGCCUGUUCUUGACGCUGAGGCGCGAAAGCUAGGGGAGCAAACAGGG